GAUCCUGGUCAGGACGAACGCUGGCGGCGCGCCUAACACAUGCAAGUCGAACGAGCGAGAGAGAGCUUGCUUUCUCGAGCGAGUGGCGAACGGGUGAGUAACGCGUGAGGAACCUGCCUCAAAGAGGGGGACAACAGUUGGAAACGACUGCUAAUACCGCAUAAGCCCACGGCUCGGCAUCGAGCAGAGGGAAAAGGAGCAAUCCGCUUUGAGAUGGCCUCGCGUCCGAUUAGCUAGG
rnacentral:rRNA from 1 species